UACGUAGGGUGCAAGCGUUAAUCGGAAUUACUGGGCGUAAAGCGUGCGCAGGCGGUUAUGCAAGACAGAUGUGAAAUCCCCGGGCUCAACCUGGGAACUGCAUUUGUGACUGCAUAGCUAGAGUACGGUAGAGGGGGAUGGAAUUCCGCGUGUAGCAGUGAAAUGCGUAGAGAUGUGGAGGAACACCGAUGGCGAAGGCAGCCCCCUGGGCUGAGAUUGACGCUCAGGCACGAAAGCGUGGGGAGCAAACAGG
rnacentral:rRNA from 1 species